GCUAAGAACAAAGUAUUUUCCCCUAGCUCUAAAAGCCUGUAAGGUAGAGGCCUUUCACAAGCUGUUGACUACAGAAACUUUUUCAUGUGCCAGGUACAAUUAGAACAUGUCAGAAGUUCCUGAUUCAGUACAACAGGAGACAGCUAUUGAUCUUGUUGCAGAACUGCACUGAUGAAGGAGAGCGAGAAGCUAUCCAGAAGUCUGUAAUGAGAAGCUGCUUACUAGAGGAGGAAUCAGGUGAGGAGGAGGAGCUUUCAGAUAGCGGUGGUGAGGAGGCUGCUGAAGCAAUGGAGUGAACUUCUGCAUACCACACAGCAGGCUGCAGUGUGCCCAAGCCUUGGGCCCACUUGGAACAGGACAUUCUGAGAGGCAGGAGCAUCUUCUACAAUUCUCCAAACUGGAUGACCACCAACAAAUUACCAACCUGAAAUGGAGGACUGACUUAAAACAAACCGAAAUCACCUUUACCUGGUGUUCCCUGUUGAAGUGGGUCUACAGGUUGUGAAUGCUCUGUAGUUAUAGACAUCUUUGUAUCUAAUUGCUUAGAUGAGAAUAGGUUUAAUAAAUUAUUUCUUCUUUAGCA